rnacentral:rRNA from 1 species
AUACGGAGGAUCCGAGCGUUAUCCGGAUUUAUUGGGUUUAAAGGGAGCGUAGGCGGACGCUUAAGUCAGUUGUGAAAGUUUGCGGCUCAACCGUAAAAUUGCAGUUGAUACUGGGUGUCUUGAGUACAGUAGAGGCAGGAGGAAUUCGUGGGGGAGGGGGGAAAUGCUUGGAUAUCACGAAGAACUCCGAUUGCGAAGGCAGCCUGCUGGACUGUAACUGACGCUGAUGCUCGAAAGUGUGGGUAUCAAACAGGAUUAGAUACCCUGGUAGUCCACACAGUAAACGAUGAAUACUCGCUGUUUGCGAUAUACAGUAAGCGGCCAAGCGAAAGCGUUAAGUAUUCCACCUGGGGAGUACGCCGGCAACGGUGAAACUCAAAUGAAUUGACGGGG